rnacentral:piRNA from 1 species
UGGUACAAGAUGAAUGCUACUGGGUCGUA